rnacentral:rRNA from 3 species
GCAGGCGGUUUCUUAAGUCUGAUGUGAAAGCCCCCGGCUCAACCGGGGAGGGUCAUUGGAAACUGGGAAACUUGAGUGCAGAAGAGGAGAGUGGAAUUCCACGUGUAGCGGUGAAAUGCGUAGAGAUGUGGAGGAACACCAGUGGCGAAGGCGACUCUCUGGUCUGUAACUGACGCUGAGGAGCGAAAGCGUGGGGAGCGAACAGGAUUAGAUACCCUGGUAGUCCACGCCGUAAACGAUGAGUGCUAAGUGUUAGGGGGUUUCCGCCCCUUAGUGCUGCAGCUAACGCAUUAAGCACUCCGCCUGGGGAGUACGGUCGCAAGACUGAAACUCAAAGGAAUUGACGGGGGCCCGCAC